rnacentral:rRNA from 1 species
GACGAACGCUGGCGGCGUGCUUAACACAUGCAAGUCGAACGGAGCGAAUGAAAGCUUGCUUUUAUGAGCUUAGUGGCAAACGGGUGAGUAACACGUAGACAACCUGCCGACAGGAUGGGGACAACAUUCCGAAAGGAAUGCUAAUACCGAAUGAAGCGGAGGAGAGGCAUCUCUCUUCCGUGAAAGAUGGCCUCUAUUUAUAAGCUAUCACCUGUCGAUGGGUCUGCGUCUGAUUAGCUGGUUGGUGAGGUAACGGCUCACCAAGGCGACGAUCAGUAGCCGGUCUGAGAGGAUGAACGGCCACAUUGGGACUGAGACACGGCCCAGACUCCUACGGGAGGCAGCAGUGGGGAAUCUUCCGCAAUGGGCGCAAGCCUGACGGAGCAACGCCGCGUGAGUGAAGAAGGUCUUCGGAUCGUAAAGCUCUGUUGACGGGGACGAACGUGCGAGAGGUGAAUAAACUCUUGCAAUGACGGACCU